GGAUAUAGCUCAGUAGCACAGCACCUGCCUGGCAAGCGGGAGAUCCUGAGUUCAAUUCCUGGUACCA
rnacentral:tRNA from 1 species